AUUCAGGUGUUAAUCUUAAUAAGGAAUCAAGUGAAAAUCUUGAACUGUCCCAGCAGCUGUAAGGUGGAUGAAAUUCAAUUGCCAUUUAGAAAUAGAGAAGGCGAAAAGUAAAAUGAAACCAAGUCAGAAGACUUGCCUGAUCAA
rnacentral:ncRNA from 1 species